UGCGAGUUAGAGUUCUGGUGAACUCAUGAGGCUCAUAUCCUCAUCCAGAAAGGUUCGAUUCCUUUACUCGCUU
rnacentral:tRNA from 1 species